AUUGAACGCUGGCGGCAGGCCUAACACAUGCAAGUCGAACGAGUGGCGGACGGGAGAGUAAUGUCUGGGAAACAGCCUGAAGGAGGGGGAUAACUCCUGGAAACGGAAGCUAAUACCGCAUACCAUCAGAUGUGCCAAGAUGGGACUAGGUAGUUGGUGGGGUAACGGCUCACCAAGUAGACGAUCCCUAGCGGGUCUGAGAGGAUGACCAGCCCCACUGGAACUGAGACCCGGUCCAGACCCCUACGUGAGGCAGCAGUGGGGAAUAUUGCACAAUGGGCGCAAGCCUGAUGCAGCCAUGCCGCGUGUAUGAAGAAGGCCUUCGGGUUGUAAAGUACUUUCAGCGGGGAGGCGUUACCCGCAGAGGAAGCACCGGCUAACUCCGUGCCAGCAGCCGCGGUAAUAC
rnacentral:rRNA from 1 species